rnacentral:rRNA from 1 species
AGCCCUAAGUGGGUGGUAAACUCCAUCUAAGGCUAAAUAUGACCACGAGACCGAUAGCGAACAAGUACCGUGAGGGAAAGUUGAAAAGCACUUUGAAGAGAGAGUUCAAGAGUACGUGAAACCGUUUAGGGGUAAACCUGAGAAACCCGAAAGGUCGAAGGGAGAAAUUCAUUCGCGUUUCGUCAUCGGCGUUCGGCGAUCGAGUGACGGGGGACGUUCGCGUUCUCCGCGCCUUUCGUUGUCCGAUCCGGAGACGAACGCGUGCACUUUUCUCCUGGUAGGACGUCGCGAUCCGUCGAGUGUCGGUCUAAGGCUCGCGGUGGAGCCCGUAGAUGUCGUCUCACGACGAUAUUUGCGGACCCGCGUGUUCCCGGCCGACUCGCUCGACGGUAUACGAAAGGUUUAAGGCCGCUCCUUAGAGCGUUCGACUCGCAGCAAGCGCGUCAGAUGUCGUCGGUGAUCGGACCUAGUGCCGGUCCCGACCUCUGGCGACUGUUGGCCGCGAAGUUCUCGAACAGACCUUAUCAAAACCGAUCUGCGACGCUAUAGCUUUGGGUACUUUCAG